rnacentral:rRNA from 1 species
GCUAAGGCGGGGCCAGGAGCGGAGGUAAGACGUAGGGCGCAAGGGUGGUCCGGAAUUAGUGGGCGGAAAGGGCGCGUGGGCGGUCUGUUACGUCUGCUGUGAAAACCCAGGGCUUAACCCUGGGCUUGCAGUGGAUACGGGCAGACUAGAGGCAGGUAGGGGAGAAUGGAAUUCCCGGUGUAGCGGUGAAAUGCGCAGAUAUCGGGAGGAACACCGGUGGCGAAGGCGGUUCUCUGGGCCUGACCUGACGCUGAGGAGCGAAAGCGUGGGGAGCGAACAGGAUUAGAUACCCGGGUAGUC